rnacentral:lncRNA from 1 species
GUCUCAUCACUGUGACAUGAUGGGGAUAGUUUUAGUUAGUAGACCGUGCCCGGCUGCUCCUGAGAAGGGCUUGCAGCACUCAACUCUUGCUUAUCCURGCAAAUGUGGCUGGAAACUUGGGUGUUACCUCUGUCAAGAUGAUGCACAAAGUACACCUGUGUGGACUCUACCUGCACAGUGAGUUGCUAAAGCACUUUGCUCUGCAAGCUGAAGGUCACAUCUUGACUGGAUUGAAAGCRCUCCAGGGUUAGGAAGGGAUUCCURCAUGUACUGUGGUCACAUCUCUYGAUGGCAGUGUAGACAUUUCCUUAAUAGGGAAAUAGGGAAGCUGAAUGCGGCUUAUACACAGUACCUCAGUKCUAUAGGAAUCAACUCACCGUGUGUAAGGACAUCUGAAUAGAAGAAUAAGUUGCAAGAGACUGGGAAAAAGAUACUGAAGUCAGGCUAGAAAUAAUGGAUAACUGGCAUAUGAUGAGAGCACAUGGUAACAGGCUGAAGAGGAGAAAGAAUAAGCAAGGAACCAGGGCCACUACCUGAACAGGAACCCUCUGCCCAGGUGGGAAGGACCUCUUUGAAAAGUCAACAAAGUCCAUGUGCUCAUGUCCUGCUGGCCACUCAGCAGAAAUGAAAGACCACCUCCCAGAGCUGCAGAGAUCCCAGAUGGUUUCGGAACAGAGAGAAAGCUGAAGAGGCAGGACAUGUCCCCUCAACACAUAGGAUUGGACAAGGGCUUCUGCUGUCCUUCCUGCCUCUCAGGAUUUAUGGCGCACGUGCUCUGCCAUGAGUCUACUCCUAGUUCUGUCCAGGAAAUACCAGGCAAAAAUAUUGCAGCUCUGGAGAAAAUGCUGAGACAGUACCAGAAGAUGAUCUGCACCGUGCUGCGGGCAGCGAAACGGAAGCUGACCAGACAGGCCAUCUGGCAAGGCUUCUCAGUGCCUCGUAGGACUGGGUCUGCUCUUCUUCUGACUGAAAUUCUUCAGGAAGCAUCAGGCUGUAGCUAG